GGCGACAUAGCCAAGUGGUAAGGCAGAGGUCUGCAAAACCUCUAUUCCCCAGUUCGAAUCUGGGUGUCGCCUCCA
rnacentral:tRNA from 1 species